UGCUGUUUUGCCUAUUACAGAAGCUUUGC
rnacentral:piRNA from 1 species